AGAAUCAACGCUGGCGGCGUGCCUAACACAUGCAAGUCGAGCGCGAAAGGGGGGCAACUCCCAAGUAGAGCGGCGAACGGGUGAGUAACGCGUGGGUAAUCUACCUUCGAGUGGGGAAUAACGCCGGGAAACUGGCGCUAAUACCGCAUAACAUCUUUGGGUCGCAAGAUCUGAUGAUCAAAGCCGGGACCGCAAGGCCUGGCGCUUGAAGAGGAGCCCGCGUCCGAUUAGCUAGGUUGGCGGGUAACGGCCCACCAAGGCUUCGAUCGGUA
rnacentral:rRNA from 1 species